rnacentral:lncRNA from 1 species
GGAAUAUAUGCUUAUCUGUGUUUCAUCAAAAAUGAAUUAAGUUGAAUCUUCUCCAUUUAAUGGUCGCAUAUUGUUAUUCCUGUUGUUGGUUUCGUUCUUAGUUGUUUUGAUUAUGAAAAAAUCAAUUUCGUAGAGAACCGUUCGAAGCACCGAAACGAUCCAGUAACAAUGAAGAAAUUAAGGGAAGUUGUCGUUUCAAGUUCAAACAAGAAAGCUCCAAAUUCGUCAAGUAAGAAAAAGGUUGAUGAUUCUGGACGACCACGUCUAUCAAAGGUUUAAUUAAUUAUCAUUAAAAUAUGUAUUAGCAACAC